ensembl:lncRNA
CUCCUUUGAUGGGACGCAUGUGUUCCCCCCUCUCUGAUCUGCACUGGCAUUAUGUUCAUUGUUUAAAGCAGGGGUUCCCCUUUUGCUUCCUCAAACCAUACCGCAGGUACGUGAUAGGGCAUGAACAGUACUCAUGUAAAGAAGCUUUUAUGAUCAGAAACUUCCCGUCAAAUAUCCAUAGCCCGGGAUUCUUCAAUCGAUGCCAUUUGCAUACCAGUCGACCCAAGGCUGGGAAACGCAGGUUAAAGGUUUUCAGGGGUGACACUUCUAAUAUAAAUGUGUCAUUCAUAGCUUUCUCUGUGUCCCUUUGCUCUUUUAGUGAUGCCCUCUGCUCAAAAGAGGGAAUCCGAAGGCAGCCAUGGUGAGCCAAAGUCUUUCUAAUCUUCAAACAUCCUAUUCUACUGCAUGUCUGCCUAGUCUUUCUGUCUGUCUGCCCGUGUCCCUCGUCCCAUCCUAUCAUGGUGUCUCCAGCAGCGGACGAACGCGUACCAACAGGGAAGCCGGUUCCCACUCCUCGCUCCUUCCCUCCCCGUCAAUCCAGUGCCACGCGGUCGAAGAGUGACGUGUCCUGCCUCUCCUUGGAGCUGAAGGAGGCGUUUCUGAAGAAGAGGAUUUUUAAAGAGUAGAGGGACCUCUCCCGGGCUCGCGAUGAACUUUCCUACGGCGUGUGGUGCUGUAUAGGGUGGAAAGAUCUACUGGAAGUGCAUCGCCAUGUCGCAGCCAGUGGGUGUCUCUGAGUAAGGUAACAGGCACAUCUUUACCUAGAGGGUUAUCCUGUGGUUCCGGAGGGGAUGGGACCCCCAGGGACCCCCAGGGACCUGAGUCCAUGGGCUCUGUGGUCUGCUUCUGGUCGUCACUGAUGGCUGUCGAGCCUCACUCUUCUCAGGUUUCUCUCCUGAUACAGACAGACUUGGUUUCACUCCUCAUUGUCAACUCACGCCUCGUAGGCUCAGACAUGAUUUGUCACUCAGUAUUAUUGGCCUAUUCACUGGCUGUGGUGUGCCUCAAACCAAAAACUAAACAAAUUUUGUUUUUGGUUUAGUGUUUGUCUCGCCAUUAAGGUCUUUUGUGCCUUUUUCUUUUAAUGAAUGAAAACACAUUUGUGGCUGAAAUAUGAAGGGAUUUGUAUUUGAAGGGAAUGUUUGGUAUAUUUGAUUUAAUAUAUCUGUAUCUCACUCAGAAUUAGGUUUUAAUGCUACAGUUAAAUCCAAAUAAAUAUUCUAUAUUUGUACAUUAUCUUUCAGUGUUUUAGGGCCUUUGUAUGACUCAUAUCUGGGCAGAAGUGGUUCAGCAGGUAGAGCGGGUUGACUGGUAUCGUCAUACCCCACUCUGCGUUCCUCCGCACAUUGAGGGAGUUUUUUUUUUUCCUGGGG